rnacentral:tRNA from 1 species
GAUCCCAUAGCUCAACUGGAUAGAGCACUACCCUUCUAAGGUAGGGGUUACAGGUUCAAGUCCUGUUGGGAUCGCCA